GAGCCGGAGUUGGCGGAGGUGCGCGGCAGCCUCUGCGGCCCACGCGGGUGCCCCCCACGCGGAGCAGCGAGGGGCCGGCAGAUAAUUAGGAAGCGGUGGUUCUGGCUUUACUGCAGGUUAUUUGACUGUAAGCUAAUACACAUUAACGUUUAAGGACGGCCGUGCUUCCGAGCUCCUGGGCAUCAGCGGUCACUUCCCCGGCCCGUGGACUGGCUGCUGCGGAGGCCGCGGAGUCACGAGUAGCGCGUGUGUUUCCGAGCUCCGUUCAGAGUGAAAACCUUGCCCCAAGCAGCUUCAGCUGGGCUUCCAGAGUCGCCUGCCAGACGGAGUUUGUGUUGCACUGAACAAUAAAACAUCCUGAGCAUAAAGCACCAUAGUGCUGCUUCCUGGAUGGAGAAGAGAAGCCGGUGUUCCAUGCCAGAAUGUGACUUCCUGGUGAUACACAGAGUCCAAGAAGCAGCGGCCAGACUCUUGGGGACCAGAGCCACAGCGGACCACGCUCUCCAGAUUCCAGGUGGAAAGACGCGGCAGAGGGGGUGACGUCGGGUCCGUCCUGCCCCGGGUGUGGCAUCUCCUGUCCUGGCCAGCCUUCUCCAGGUCGCUGGUCACCACCUCCUGUCCCCUCUCACAGCAGCUCUGUUCCUGACGAUCAGAGAGGCAGGACACAAGACAAGAGCCAUUCUUCCCUGGAAUGCGUCACCGUCCUGCGGAAGGACCCACUGGAAUCUUGAUUUUAUGCCCAGGAAACCUCUCCCGCGCUGACCCCCCACCAGCUGCGAGACCCUCCAGCACGAAGCACAGGUCACCUGGGUGCCCCUGAAACAGCGCCCGGGGCAAUGUUAAAGUGCCUCCGUCCCUUCUGUGGAGCCAGAGAGCCGGCAGGUGAUUGAAUGCGAUCAAAGAGUGGAUCUUCACCCAUGCCCGACUGGCACCCACGCGUGGCAGCGGCGGGACCCUGGCCCCCUCCCUUGGGCUCUAAGGCUUCUUCGACGCAAAACCUACCCACAACACCAGGGCGCAGAGUGGGGCUGUGUCUGAGUGAGAGGCCCCCACUGCUGUGUUUCUUGCUUUCUCUUCUUCUUUUCCCCACUGUAAUA